rnacentral:rRNA from 1 species
CGAGCGCAACCCUCGCCCUUAGUUGCCAGCAUUUAGUUGGGCACUCUAAGGGGACUGCCGGUGAUAAGCCGAGAGGAAGGUGGGGAUGACGUCAAGUCCUCAUGGCCCUUACGGGCUGGGCUACACACGUGCUACAAUGGUGGUGACAGUGGGCAGCGAGACAGCGAUGUCGAGCUAAUCUCCAAAAGCCAUCUCAGUUCGGAUUGCACUCUGCAACUCGAGUGCAUGAAGUUGGAAUCGCUAGUAAUCGCAGAUCAGCAUGCUGCGGUGAAUACGUUCCCGGGCCUUGUACACACCGCCCGUCACACCAUGGGAGUUGGUUUUACCCGAAGGUAGUGCUGCUA